AUGGCGUCGUCGUGGUCGGACCUCCCACCGGAGCUCCUAGACCUCGUUGUCGCCGGCCUCCCUAACCCUGCCGAUCGCGCCCGCUCCCGCGCCGUGUGCCGUUCAUGGCACUCCGCCGUGCGACGCCAUGGACCCCAGGCAGCCCAGCUACCAUGGAUGGUCUUCACUGAUGGUGAAGUCGUCACACCCACCAACGGUCCCUCGGAACACCCCACCUUCAUCCCCGAGAAUUCACAUCUCUCCGGCUCCGCCGACGAGUGGCUACUCUUCGGCGUCUACCACCGGACCCCCAAACUCAUCGACAACUAUGUUCUACACAAUAUAUUCUCCGGAGAGCGUGUUUCUCUGACCGAGUUGGACGCAGCCCUCCACCGCGCUUACCGUGUCAGCAAGUUCCGGAUGCAGUCCACCGCCCAUGACUUCAUGGCCGUCGUCACCACCAACAAGAAUCAUCCGCUCAUCGUGAUCCUGCCAGGAAAGGGUGUGUGGGUGCCCGAACCACAGGCAGUUCCAUAUGUUUAUAUCAUUGACAUUGCCUUCCAUGGAGAGAAGCUCUAUGGCAUCAGCAAGGCGGAGGACCUUAUCCCUUUUGACCUAGGGUUGGAUGAGGAUGGAAGACCCACGGUCAUCAUUGCAAGGCGUGUAAUCCGACGGCCAAGGGCUAUAGAUGAUAUGGACACUAAUGGCGCACCACAUGUCUGUAGUGAUGGUUGGGAUGAUGAUUACAGUAGCAACGACGAAGAUGACGAUGAGGACGACGACGACGAAGAUGAUAUUGAUGAUGAAGAUGACCAGGAUGAGGAAGUGAUAGAUAUUGAUGUCGCUGCAGAUGAUGGGGAUGAGGGCGAGGAGGGGGAGGAGGAGGAAGAAGAAGAAGAGGAUAAAGAAUACACUUGCUGGCACCUAGUCCAGUCACACGGGGAGCUACUCAUGAUGAAGCCACACACCCAUAUCUUUUCAGACUAUUCCUCGUCCAUUCGCCAGGUUGAUGUUUUCAUGGCUGAUGUUAAGACACGCAAAUGGGUGCGCAUGGCUAAUGGGCUCGGUGGCGGCGGAGCACUAUUCAUCAGCCAACACUUCUCCAAGUUUGUUUCUGCACGUGGAGAUAUCAAGGAGGAUGCCAUCUAUUUUCUCGAGUCGGGUGAGGUGUUCAAUAUGAAAACUCAGAAUGCUAAACCGAUGAGGUUUUACGAGCCUGGCUACCUAGGAUGGAAUGUCAUGUGGCUCUUCCCCCCGGAGUUGGUGCUUUAA
rnacentral:rRNA from 1 species